GGGCACGGGACGGGGACGGGGGGGGACAUGGGGACGGGGGGCACACAGGGCUCACCCCCACCCACAUUUUAUUUCUCGCGGCGCAGAGGCGCCGCUACGAGACCUACGUGCAGGUGCUGGAGACGUGGAUCAACUCCGGCGCCCAGGACCUGGAGGGCUGGGAAGCGCAGGCGGGGGCCGUGGCGGCCCCCCCGGAGCCCCCCAACCUCACCAAGGCUCACUCCAGCCCCUCGCUGGCCCCUGAAAGCGCCCCCCCGGCCGGCGUCCGGGUCAAACGCAACAUCUCCGAGCGCCGCACCGUGCGUAAGGUCAUCCCCAAGCGCAACAAGAACCUGCUGUGACGGGGUCGGGGACCCCCCCCCUUCCUUUUUUGAAGACCGCCCCCCCAAUUUAGGGUUUGGGGGAAACCCCUCCCAACUUUGGGAAUGCCCCCCCCAACCUUGGGAAUGCCCCCCCACCGCGGUACGAGGGUCCUCGGGGCACCGCCGGCAACAAGGGGGUGCCCCCCACCCAGGAUCGAGGACUCAAACUCAGGGUUGGGGGGGGCCUGGCCCUCCCCCCCCCAGCUUGGCUGCCUUGCCCCCCAGCUGUGCGCCCGCUGCCUGCUGCUGUCGGACACGUCGUCUCGAGGAGACGGCGCCGUGCAAUAAACGUGUGUCACACCCCCGCCUCCUGUCCCCCUGUGUCCCCCCCCCCAGCCCUACGGGGACACGUGGCCCUGGGGGGGGGUCCUCAGGUCCUUGGGGAGUCACCGAGGUGACGGCAGUGACAAACACCCCGCGUUUAUUGGCGGUGCCAACCCCUGGCACCCAAGGGUCUCAUGGGGACGCGGUGGUGGCACCGGUCCCCGCGCACCGCGCCGGUGCUGUCACCUCUGCUGUGGGCGCUGUCACCCCCCCGGUGGCUUCGGUCCUCGUCCCCACGGAGAGCGGUGUGCCGCUGGUCAGGGGCCCUGGAUGGAGGACACGCGUCAUGCACCAUCGUCAUGGGGCACCCUGGGGUGCUGCCACCCCCUGCCCCCCCCCGGUGCCACCCACCUUGGGGACAGCCGUAGAGCCGGUUGACCCGCGCCACGUCGGAGGCGCUGAGCCCCCGCCGCUGCCCCAGCACCGCCCGGGGGUCCUGCAGGGGCGUGAUGGUGGGCUCGGCCCCGCGGCUGAAGGCGUAGCUGGAGCGGGGGGGAAAGAGCCAAAAAGCAAUGAAAUCACCCCAAAAAAUAUAACGGGGGGGGCAGGAGGAGGGGCCGGGGCUCACCGGCCAUAGUGCAGCACGGAGGAGUAGUCGUAGCCCACCAGCGUGUUGGCCGAGCGGGACUUCACGAAGUUGCCCUCAAAGCCUGUAAAGGGGGGGGGAUCAG
rnacentral:lncRNA from 1 species